AAAUUGAAGAGUUUGAUCAUGGCUCAGAUUGAACGCUGGCGGCAGGCCUAACACAUGCAAGUCGAGCGGUAGCACAGAGAGCUUGCUCUCGGGUGACGAGCGGCGGACGGGUGAGUAAUGUCUGGGAAACUGCCUGAUGGAGGGGGGAUAACUACUGGAAACGGUAGCUAAUACCGCAUAAUGUCGCAAGACCAAAGUGGGGGACCUUCGGGCCUCAUGCCAUCAGAUGUGCCCAGAUGGGAUUAGCUAGUAGGUGGGGUAACGGCUCACCUAGGCGACGAUCUCUAGCUGGUCUGAGAGGAUGACCAGCCACACUGGAACUGAGACACGGUCCAGACUCCUACGGGAGGCAGCAGUGGGGAAUAUUGCACAAUGGGCGCAAGCCUGAUGCAGCCAUGCCGCGUGUGUGAAGAAGGCCUUCGGGUUGUAAAGCACUUUCAGCGGGGAGGAAGGCGUUAAGGUUAAUAACCUUGGCGAUUGACGUUACCCGCAGAAGAAGCACCGGCUAACUCCGUGCCAGCAGCCGCGGUAAUACGGAGGGUGCAAGCGUUAAUCGGAAUUACUGGGCGUAAAGCGCACGCAGGCGGUCUGUCAAGUCGGAUGUGAAAUCCCCGGGCUCAACCUGGGAACUGCAUUCGAAACUGGCAGGCUAGAGUCUUGUAGAGGGGGGUAGAAUUCCGGUGUAGCGGUGAAAUGCGUAGAGAUCUGGAGGAAUACCGGUGGCGAAGGCGGCCCCCUGGACAAAGACUGACGCUCAGGUGCGAAAGCGUGGGGAGCAAACAGGAUUAGAUACCCUGGUAGUCCACGCCGUAAACGAUGUCGAUUUGGAGGUUGUGCCCUUGAGGCGUGGCUUCCGGAGCUAACGCGUUAAAUCGACCGCCUGGGGAGUACGGCCGCAAGGUUAAAACUCAAAUGAAUUGACGGGGGCCCGCACAAGCGGUGGAGCAUGUGGUUUAAUUCGAUGCAACGCGAAGAACCUUACCUGGUCUUGACAUCCACAGAACUUUCCAGAGAUGGAUUGGUGCCUUCGGGAACUGUGAGACAGGUGCUGCAUGGCUGUCGUCAGCUCGUGUUGUGAAAUGUUGGGUUAAGUCCCGCAACGAGCGCAACCCUUAUCCUUUGUUGCCAGCGGUUAGGCCGGGAACUCAAAGGAGACUGCCAGUGAUAAACUGGAGGAAGGUGGGGAUGACGUCAAGUCAUCAUGGCCCUUACGACCAGGGCUACACACGUGCUACAAUGGCAUAUACAAAGAGAAGCGACCUCGCGAGAGCAAGCGGACCUCAUAAAGUAUGUCGUAGUCCGGAUUGGAGUCUGCAACUCGACUCCAUGAAGUCGGAAUCGCUAGUAAUCGUAGAUCAGAAUGCUACGGUGAAUACGUUCCCGGGCCUUGUACACACCGCCCGUCACACCAUGGGAGUGGGUUGCAAAAGAAGUAGGUAGCUUAACCUUCGGGAGGGCGCUUACCACUUUGUGAUUCAUGACUGGGGUGAAGUCGUAACAAGGUAACCGUAGGGGAACCUGCGGUUGGAUCACCUCCUUA
rnacentral:rRNA from 1 species